rnacentral:rRNA from 1 species
GUAUUAAGCCAUGACAAGUGUAAGUAUAAUUGUUUUACGGUGAAACUGCGAAUGGCUCAUUAAAUCAGUUAUAGUUUAUUUGAUGCUAUAGGCCGAAAGGUCACUACAUGGAUAUCUGUAGUAACAUAGAGCUAAUACAUGCAAUAUAGUCUGUACUUUUUGGAAGGACUAGCACUUAUUAGAUAUUAAACCAGUCCCAGCAAUGGGUUUUUUGGUGAUUCAUAGUAACUGAACAAAUCACAUGGUCUUGUACCGGUGAUGUUUCAUUCAAAUUUCUGCCCUAUCAACUAGAUGGUAGUAUAUAGGACUACCAUGGUUGUAACGGGUAACGGAGGAUUAGGGUUUGAUUCCGGAGAAGGAGCAUGAGAAACGGCUACUAUUUCUAAGGAAAGCAGCAGGC